UUACGACUUAUAUUCAAUCGAAUACAAUUAAUUUAAAUGAACUAACACACAGGUUGGCGACUGAAACAAAAACAACUUACUUAUUGUUUAUUAAGGAUUUUAUUAUUGAACUUUAUCAUAAAUAUGGUACUAAUAGUAGUUCUAUUUAUACAAAGAACAAAACGGACGAUAUACAAAAGCUUGAUGACAUACAGAAACUUGAUAACAUGACAAACCCAAUGAAAGAAACUAGAAAUGAACAACAAAUCAAAACACAUAAUACAAAUAUAAAUAAACUAAUAUUAGAAGAAAUGACGUAUAAAAAUGAAGUAAACGAUUUAAAAGAACAGUUAGAAAUAUUAUAUGAUAAAAAAAAUGCAUAUGCUAAUGAAUUAAAAAAUAUGACACUUGAAUUAAAUGCUAAAAAAGAAGAAAUGGACAAUUUGAAUAACAAAAUAAAUGAGAUAAAUAUAAGAGAGACAUCAAAUACGUAUAUGAUGAAUAGUGGUGUGAGUAAUGAGGAGUAUGUCACAAAAAAUAGAGAUAAAUUUGUUUUGCAGAAGAAAAUGGAACUGACUAAAAAGGAAAUGGAACUUGAUGCUAAAGAGAGAGAGCUUAGGACUAUAGAAAACGAACUUAAUAAAACUAACGAUGAUUUAACAAAAGAACAAAAUGAUAUAAAAUUGUACAAAGAAGAAUUAUAUAAUGAUAAAAUUCAUUUGGAAGAAUUAAAGAACGAUCUAAUGAUGAGAUACGAGAAAUUAUAUAAUGCUCAAAAUUAUAUAAAAAUAAAAGAGACAAAGUUAAAAACGAUAUAUGAAAAAUUGAAAGAUCAAAAUAUAAUUGAUUUAUUGGACAUUAAUUAUAAUGAUAGUAGUUUGUUGAAUAGUCCAUCACCAUAUGAAGGUUUCAAUAGUAGUGACUUUAAUAACAAUGAUUUAAACAAUACUAACAAUGACAAUAAAAAGAAUAGUUAUCAUUAUACAUCACUGAAAAAAUUAACUGAAUACAGCAAUACAGAUGACAAUGAAAGUCUAAACUUGGAUUCAUUGGAAUAUACAACUUAUUUUAAAGAAUUUAAAAAAAAAAUUAAAAAUUUAAAAAAUGAUUUAGUAAUGAGUGAAAAAAAUGUUGAAAUGUAUAAAACUUCGAUUGAAAAUGAAAAAAAAGAAAAGGAAUUAUAUAAAGUAGAGCUGGAUAAAUUAAAACAACUUUUACAUAUGG
rnacentral:lncRNA from 1 species